AGAGACAGCAGUCGCCACGGUAAUACAGAGGAUACAAGCGUUAUCUGGAAUUAUUGGGCGUAAAGCGAGCGCAGGCGGUUUGAUAAGUCUGAAGUUAAAGGCUGUGGCUCAACCAUAGUUCGCUUUGGAAACUGUCAAACUUGAGUGCAGAAGGGGAGAGUGGAAUUCCAUGUGUAGCGGUGAAAUGCGUAGAUAUAUGGAGGAACACCGGUGGCGAAAGCGGCUCUCUGGUCUGUAACUGACGCUGAGGCUCGAAAGCGUGGGGAGCGAACAGGAUUAGAUACCCGCGUAGUCCCUGUCUCUUAUACA
rnacentral:rRNA from 1 species